ensembl:lncRNA
GACCCGGGCUGCGGUUGUUACCCGGAUGUUGUGGGGGGGAUCAUUGGGGAAGCGGAGCGGAGAGGCGGACUGUGAUGGCGACCAACAUCGAGCAGAUAUUCCGGGAUUUUGUGAUGAAUAAAAUAAAGCAGAUCGAGGAUGAGAGUCAGGAUAAGAGUCAAAGUGGCCAAGCUGCUUCUAAUGAUGCAGAGUCUCCCUGUGAGAUGGGAACAGGAAUAAAUAACAAAGCACCUCCUGCUGAAACGUGCAGUAAAACAACAGAUAAACUCACAAAUCCCUGCUCCCAGGAGAACAGUGCCAAAGAGGAAUCCAGCGCUAAACACAAGAAAAGCAAAAAGCACAAAAAACACAAAAGCAAAAAGAAGAAAAAGAAACGCAAGGAGGAGAAGGAGAGCAGCUCAGAGUCUGAAUCAGACCUAGAAAAUCAAGGAAGUGUAAAGAAGAAGAAGAAGAAAAAGAAAAAGAAGAAACAUAAGGAAAGUGACAAAGAAAAAAAGUCUCGCUCGCGUUCUGGGAGCUCUUCUGCAUCUGAAUCAGAGUCUGAGUAUGAACCUAAACCUUCAAGUGAGACCACCAAGUCUGAACUUGGAAAUGGAAGUCAUUUCAAGGUUUCUCAAGAUUUACCUGACAUUAUUCCAAAGCUUGAAACCACAGCUGAUAAGAACAAAGGGAGCGAACGAGACAGCGAAAGAAAACGAAGCUCCAGUCGUUCUAAAACCUCCAAACAGGAGAAUAAGACAGAAAGAAACCGGCGCUCCCGUUCUAGAUCAAGCAAAAGAAAAUCAAGACACAGGUCUAGAUCCUGGUCGCCCAGACGAUCCCAGAGGAGAUCAAAGUCAAAGUCUCGUUCCAGGAAGAGUCCCAAAAGGAAGUCUCCACAGCAUAGACGGCGAAGUAGAUCCAGGUCAGGAUCACAAAGACGCAGCAGCAGACGGUCCAGAUCUCGCUCAGCCAAAAGAAGCAGACAUUCAAGGUCCAGAUCAAGGUCUAGGUCUAAGCGAAGUAGAUCAAGGCAAACCAAAACUGCCUUAAAGAAGAGCAGGAGAUCUCGGUCAAAAUCUAGAUCAGCUUCAGAUCAUCGAUCAGGGAAUUCAAAGUCUAGAUCUCAAACACAGGCUAGACGUAGUACGUCAAGGUCUCGGUCAAAGUCUAGGUCUUCUUCGAAAGAUAAAUCAACAAAGAGCGAGAUGCAAAAGAAAGACAUUGUUCCAGAAUUAAAGAGUAAGAUUAGCUCUGAAAUAGAAACUGAAAAAGAAAGCAUUGAUAAAGAUCAAAGCCAGACACUACUGUUAAACUCCAUGUUAAAGACUAUAAAGGAUGUUAAAGAUGCCACUAUCAGUGACGGACAGGUUAAGGGAUCAUGGCGACCAGUUCCUUUCUUGGAUGUCAGCUCUUCUGCUACUGUUCUAACUUCUUCGUCUUCUGAGACUAAGCCUUUAGUGAAGUGCAUUACACCUGAGCUGCCUUUCAAUGUAAAGGAUAUUUCUGCACAUACCUCAGAUAAGGCUAUUAAGUUGGAGUCUGUCCUCAAAACUGAAAAACAAGAAGAAAUUACCAGUACAGAAUUAAAAGGUUCACAAGUUAAACAUUCCAAGUCUCGUUCAGAGUCCUCCUCACCAUCUCCUCAAAGGAGCUCAAAAUCUGCCUCAAGAAAACGGUCCAGUUCCAGAUCUCCAGUAAAACCAAGGCGUUCCAGGUCGUCCUCCAGGAACAGCAAGACAAAAUCAAAGUCAUCUCCUUCACGAAGGAAAAGAUCUAAGUCUAGAACGCGGGGUAGGCGUUCCAAAUCCAAGUCGCCAAAAAGCAAACGAUCGAAGUCCCGUUCACCAGAUCGAAGGAAGCGGUCCCGGUCCCCAGACAGGAGGUCAAGAUCGAGACGCAGAUCACGCUCUCGGUCACGGAGAUCUAGAUCUAGAUCCCGGCGAAGAGGAGGAGGAGGUUUCAGGAACCGAAUGUUUAGUCAGCGCGAUCGGUGGAAGCGAGAACCGAGCCACUCUCCUGUUCUCAUCCUGCGGAAGAAAAGAUCGACUUCUCGAACUUGUCGCAGCACCAGCAAGACACCACCACGCCUUACUGAGCUCGGUAAGAAAGCAUAUCUUCUGAAUUCUGAUUUUGAUAUCCUAGUACGCUUGUAUGUUUUAAAGUACACAU